rnacentral:pre_miRNA from 1 species
CUUAUUCACUCUCCCUCAAGGCUUCUAGCACAAGCUGAUUACAAGCAAAAACUUGAGGCCUUUGGGGAGAGUGGAAAA